rnacentral:ncRNA from 1 species
CCCGGUGUUCAGCCACCGGUAGCCUAACUACGGUGCGGGGUUGGUAACGACCUCGUGCUAAGCGUACUGACAACGUAGCCACCUUACGGGGUACACUAACUCCGUGAGGAGUCUAGUGUGAUACUGGGAGUCGCAACCUGGUUGAGGCG